ACUACAAAAAUAAUUAAUUCUAUUGGCGGUUUAUUAUAUGUGUUCCAUCCUCCACCAACAAUAUCCCCUGAGACUGACCAAAACAACCCCUGCCGCCACCUCCCCCUCCCCUUCCCUUACCGUCCAUGGCAGGUAGCUCUUGCAUGGAGCAACUCCUCUAACUCCCUCACCCUGUGCAUGGACCAGAUUGAGUGUCGCCUCCGCCACAUCGUCGCCACCCUCUCAGACCGCCUCAAGCGCGCCGAGAGUGCCUUCAUGGAGUGCGUCGUGGGGAACUGGUUCUGGUGCUGGGAGGAGCAUAAUAUCGCUGCCGCCAAGGAGGUGGGGGGGCGCGGAUGCUAAAGCACAAAUGGAAGAGGUGGUGAGCGUGGUUCUUUGGGCGAACCGCGUGAGGCGGAGCGUUCUUGUGGACAUAAUGAGCGCAACCAUUGUGUACCAGGCAAUGCUCUUUCUUGAAGGCCUAGCCCAAUUCCUCAUUGGCUUCAGAGAGUAGGACCUGCUCAAUGUCGUCGAACAGUGCAAGAUGGGGAAAUACCCCGCUUGAUGAAGCCCUGAUGUGUGGAAAUAAGAUUCGAUCAAGUUGCUUGAAGAUGCAAAAUAUGCUCAACUGUUAGAAUUCCCUCGAAUUCCUCCCAAGAAUUUACAAAUAGUUAGCAGGGACAUGAUAGUUUACUCCAAAUAGAAGCAUACAACUGUUGAUGAACCGUAGAAACGUUCGUCGCGCCGUGAGCUUCCAUUUGAACCGAACAGUUUUUAGAACUGAAACGGAUUGAUUGGAAUAGUAAGUGAUCAUUACUGCUAGAGAACGAAUGUUGGACGAGUCUCAAUUCUUACGUAUUGAACGUUUAAGUCAUCAAUCCGGGUGGUGAGGCGUUGCUUGAGGAAACGCUGGAAGAAGAAAAUUUGGAGGAAGCAACCCUCGUAGAUGUUGAAGUGAAGGCCGAACAGUAGACGUUCGGUUAGCUGUUUAGAUUAGAUAUUUUUUUUUAUUGUACUGAUUUUUAGAUCGACCCCUUUUGAUUAAUUGACCGUUCGGUAUUUCUGUUUUGUAAACUGA